rnacentral:rRNA from 1 species
UAAUACGAAGGGGGCUAGCGUUGUUCGGAAUCACUGGGCGUAAAGAGCUCGUAGGCGGCCGUUCGCGUCGGAUGUGAAAGCUCAGGGCUCAACUCUGAGACGCCAUUCGAUACGGGACGGCUAGAGGUAGGUAGGGGAAAGUGGAAUUCCUGGUGUAGCGGUGAAAUGCGCAGAUAUCAGGAGGAACACCGGUGGCGAAGGCGGCUUUCUGGGCCUUACCUGACGCUGAGGAGCGAAAGCUGGGGGAGCGAACGGGAUUAGAUACCCCGGUAGUCCCAGCCGUAAACGUUGAGUGCUAGGUGUGGGGAGGUCUUCAACCCUUUCUGUGCCGACGCUAACGCAUUAAGCACUCCGCCUGGGGAGUACGGUCGCAAGACUA